rnacentral:lncRNA from 1 species
CCGCCCAAAUCCAUGUAGAAUAAAUAGAUUUAAGUGACUUUCGAACCAACUUAACCCAAAUCUAACCAUACAACUAAUGCUGAAAUCAGAUUGAAUAUAGAUCGGAUAUCAGUGUAUCCAUAUCAAUAUUUGUUUUAUUUCAUGAGGAAUACGGAUAAUACUAGUUGGAUGCAAAAAUUCAUAUCCAUAUUAUUAUUACAUG